CUAUGGGGUGCAGCAGGCGCGAAACCUUUACAAUGCACGCAAGUGUGAUAAGGGGAUCCCAAGUGCUCAUGUAAUACAUGGGCUUUUGCUAAGAGUAAGUAUCUUGGCGAAUAAGUAGUGGGUAAGACUGGUGCCAGCCGCCGCGGUAACACCAGCGCCACGAGUGGGGACCACGUUUAUUGGGCCUAAAGCGUCCGUAGCCGGUUUGUUAAAUCUUUUGUGAAAUCGUAGGGCUUAACCUUACGGCUAGCAAGAGACACUGGCAGACUAGGAACCGGGAUGGGCAUGAGGUAUUCCAGGGGUAGCGGUAAAAUGUUAUAAUCCCUGGAGGACCACCUGUGGCGAAGGCGUCAUGCUAGAACGGAUUCGACGGUGAGGGACGAAAGCCAGGGGAGCGAUCCGGAUUAGAUACCCGAGUAGUCCUGGCUGUAAACGCUGCGAGCAAGGUGUUGCAUAAUCUCCGUGAUUGUGCAGUGUCGAAACGAAGGUGUUAAGCUCGCCGCCUGGGAAGUAUGGUCGCAAGACUGAAACUUAAAGGAAUUGGCGGGGGAGCACUACAAGGGGUGCGGCGUGCGGUUUAAUCUAAUUCAACGCAGAAAAUCUCACCAGAAGCGACGGCAGGAUGAAAGUCAGAUUAAAGGUUUUACUUGACGAGCCGAGAAGAAGUGCAUGGCCA
rnacentral:rRNA from 1 species